rnacentral:rRNA from 1 species
GUCUAUGGCCAUGCUAUCUUGAACAAGCCCGAUCUCGUCUGAUCUCAGAAGCUAAGCAGGGUCAGGCCUGGUUACUAUGUGGAUGGGAGACCACCUAGGAAUACCGGGUGCUGUAGGCG